rnacentral:rRNA from 1 species
CAUGAACGCUAGCUACAGGCUUAACACAUGCAAGUCGAGGGGCAGCAUGAACUUAGCUUGCUAAGUUUGAUGGCGACCGGCGCACGGGUGAGUAACACGUAUCCAACCUGCCGAUGACUCGGGGAUAGCCUUUCGAAAGAAAGAUUAAUACCCGAUGGCAUAGUUCUUCCGCAUGGUAGAACUAUUAAAGAAUUUCGGUCAUCGAUGGGGAUGCGUUCCAUUAGGUUGUUGGCGGGGUAACGGCCCACCAAGCCUUCGAUGGAUAGGGGUUCUGAGAGGAAGGUCCCCCACAUUGGAACUGAGACACGGUCCAAACUCCUACGGGAGGCAGCAGUGAGGAAUAUUGGUCAAUGGACGAGAGUCUGAACCAGCCAAGUAGCGUGAAGGAUGACUGCCCUAUGGGUUGUAAACUUCUUUUAUACGGGAAUAAAGUGAGGCACGUGUGCCUUUUUGUAUGUACCGUAUGAAUAAGGAUCGGCUAACUCCGUGCCAGCAGCCGCGGUAAUACGGAGGAUCCGAGCGUUAUCCGGAUUUAUUGGGUUUAAAGGGAGCGUAGGCGGACGCUUAAGUCAGUUGUGAAAGUUUGCGGCUCAACCGUAAAAUUGCAGUUGAUACUGGGUGUCUUGAGUACAGUAGAGGCAGGCGGAAUUCGUGGUGUAGCGGUGAAAUGCUUAGAUAUCACGAAGAACUCCGAUUGCGAAGGCAGCCUGCUGGACUGUAACUGACGCUGAUGCUCGAAAGUGUGGGUAUCAAACAGGAUUAGAUACCCUGGUAGUCCACACAGUAAACGAUGAAUACUCGCUGUUUGCGAUAUACAGUAAGCGGCCAAGCGAAAGCGUUAAGUAUUCCACCUGGGGAGUACGCCGGCAACGGUGAAACUCAAAGGAAUUGACGGGGGCCCGCACAAGCGGAGGAACAUGUGGUUUAAUUCGGUGAUACGCGAGGAACCUUACCCGGGCUUGAAUUGCAACUGAAUGAUGUGGAGACAUGUCAGCCGCAAGGCAGUUGUGAAGGUGCUGCAUGGUUGUCGUCAGCUCGUGCCGUGAGGUGUCGGCUUAAGUGCCAUAACGAGCGCAACCCUUAUCGAUAGUUACCAUCAGGUUAUGCUGGGGACUCUGUCGAGACUGCCGUCGUAAGAUGUGAGGAAGGUGGGGAUGACGUCAAAUCAGCACGGCCCUUACGUCCGGGGCUACACACGUGUUACAAUGGGGGGUACAGAAGGCAGCUACACGGCGACGUGAUGCUAAUCCCGAAAGCCUCUCUCAAGUUUCGGAUUGGAGUCUGCAACCCGACUCCGUGAAGCUGGAUUCGCUAGUAAUCGCGCUUCAGCCACGGCGCGGUGAAAUUACGUUUCCCGAGCCU